rnacentral:lncRNA from 1 species
CAGGGAAACAACUAUCGGCUCUCCUCGACGACCCUCAUGUGAGUAUUCUAAAUUUGAGAUUUAUACUGUAUAUAGUUUAACAUUACAUGAUUUUAUCUUUUUAAAAUGUCAAUAUGUCAACUUGAAGUAAUAACUCAUUUGACGGCGUCGAUGGAAGAGGAGGCGCAGGGUCUCGUGCGUGAAGUAGCGGUUCCGCACGCCCAAGACGACCAGAUGUCCGAUUCGAUCCCCGAUCGAGAUUGGGUGAGUUAUUUAUUAAUAUUUUGUAUGAGUUAGCAAUUAUUGAAUAAGUUAAUAAUAUGUAAGUUUGUGUAGGACCGCGAGCCAAUUGAUCGGGCAUCACCUCCGUCAGCGGCAUCACCUCCGCCCAGGGCAUCACCUCCACUACUGGCGUCACUUCCUUCCCCUCAGGGUAAUUAUUCUAAUGAUUUGUACCAUCACCUGACUGGAUUUAUAGUACAGGAGGUCGGCGCAUUGCGUUGAGAGCAGGAAGGAGUUAUAUCAGGGGAGGUCGGCGUGCUGCGCCGAGAGCUGAUAGGAGUUAUAUUAGAGGAGAUCGGCGCGCUGUGUCGAGAUAUGGUGGAGCGGGUCGACGAUCUAGGACGUCAGCUGGUAAGGAGGGUCGAGGAUAUAGCAGAUGAUGUUAGCGUACUGUGUGGGCAUUUAGGGGACCUUCGUGAUGAGGUAACAACACUUCGAUAUGAUAUAGUAGGUAGACGAUGGGUUGAUAGAGGUGACAACCGGGGGAUGAUCGAGAGGAUAGAAAUGGGAGUCACCCACAGUCGUAGUCAGAGGAUGCAUGAGACUCAUUUUUUCAGUCCAUGGAGGAUAGGGUGGACUUGAGGACUGAAGGAGGGGUGGCCCCGAGGGCAAAGGAGGGGAUGGCCCCGAGGUCGGAGGAGGGAGUGGCCUCG